rnacentral:rRNA from 1 species
GAUGAACGCUGGCGGCGUGCCUAACACAUGCAAGUCGAGCGGUAUAUAGUGGAAUGAAACUUCGGUCGAGUGAAGCUAUAGAGAGCGGCGGACGGGUGAGUAACGCGUAGGCAACCUGCCCCAUACAGAGGGAUAGCCUCGGGAAACCGGGAUUAAAACCUCAUAACGCGAGGAGUUCACAUGGACUUCUCGCCAAAGAUUCAUCGGUAUGGGAUGGGCCUGCGUCUGAUUAGCUAGUUGGUGAGGUAACGGCUCACCAAGGCGACGAUCAGUAGCCGACCUGAGAGGGUAAUCGGCCACAUUGGAACUGAGACACGGUCCAGACUCCUACGGGAGGCAGCAGUGGGGAAUAUUGCACAAUGGGCGAAAGCCUGAUGCAGCGACGCCGCGUGAGCGAUGAAGGCC